rnacentral:ncRNA from 1 species
CGUAGGCAGUGGCUUGGUUAAGGGAACCCACCGGAGCCGUAGCAAAAAUGAGUCUUCAUAGGGCAAUUGUCACUUCUUAUGGACCCGAACCUGGGUGAGCUAUCCAUGACCAGGAUGAAGCUUGGGUAAAACUAAGUGGAGGUCCGAACCGACUGAUGUUGAAGAAUCAGAAGAUAAGUUAUGGUUAGGGGUGAAAUGACACUCAAACCUAGAGCUAUCUAG